rnacentral:rRNA from 1 species
UACGAAGGGGGCUAGCGUUGUUCGGAAUCACUGGGCGUAAAGCGCACGUAGGCGGGCUCUUAAGUCGGUGGUGAAAUCCUGGAGCUCAACUCCAGAACUGCCUCCGAUACUGAGAGUCUUCGAGUCCGGGAGAGGUGAGUGGAACUGCGAGUGUAGAGGUGAAAUUCGUAGAUAUUCGCAAGAACACCAGUGGCGAAGGCGGCUCACUGGCCCGGUACUGACGCUGAGGUGCGAAAGCGUGGGGAGCAACAGG